UUCACGCUCUUGUCUUCACUCUUCACUCUUCACUCCCACUGUGCUCGAUCAUAUCAUGCAUGUUCUCUUCAUCUGUUGCUUGCAUUGUUACUUCAAAUCGCUACAUUCUUUCUCUCUUCAACUGCUGCUGGGCCUGGGGUUUCAUGUCUUUCUAAUUCUUUACGUUUUCCCAUCAUCAUGUCUUGUUAUCAGAAAAAAAUCACACAUUCUUUAAUCAUAAUGCACAUUUUCUUGGGGUUUCAAGAAUUUACCACGGUUCUUGGGUUUUCAGUUCUGAAAUAUGUUUUGUUUCAAGAAUUCAGAAUUCGUUUUGUGUUUUGUUUCAUGACAGAGCUGAGAAAAGCGUGAUGGCUUCAUCUGGUUUUCAACCUUUGCAGAAGGUUCUCUCUGCUAAGCAUUUGGUUGCUGGUGUACAGCGGUCUGAUUUGAUCCCAUUUACAAGAGAUAAAGCAAUCGGUGCUAUCAUGGCAUGUGUUAUUGUGCAGUCAUUUUGCUCAUGGAAUCCUUGCCAGAGGCCAACAACCUCAGAAGCUCUUCAAGCUUCCUUUCUUCUAGGUGUAUUGGUGUCUUAUCUCAUUCGUGUUUUUUGUCUACUUUUUUAUCAAGAAUCUAGAUCAUGUUUUUAUUUCUUUGGCAAUUAUAUUUAGAAUCUUUCUUAUUUGUUGUAGAGCUGCUUUUACAUUCCUCUAUUCCUUCGCACCAAAGCAGCAGCAAGGACUCCUAUACUUGGCUUGCUGGUGUACAUCUUCGUGCAUUGAUCCUAUUUGCUAGUGACGAUGCAAUUAGCCUGUUAAUACUAUUUUUGCAUGCAGUCACUUUGCUCCUAGGAUCCAUGCGGGAGGCCUAGAGCUUCAGAAGCUGUUCAACAUCCUUUCUUUAAGGUGUGGUUGUCUUUGAACAGUUCGAGAAGACGAUGAAGUUGGAUGGAAACAAUCAUGUAAUAUAUCUGGAGGAAGAAGCAGCUGGAACUUGCCUGCUAAUAGAUGGAAGGGCUUUCUUGCUUCAAAAUGAUCAUGAUCCGUAAAAGUUAAUUGCGGAGACACCAUUCAAGCUUCAGAGAUAUUUGGUUGUGGGUUAAAGUCAUAUUGAUGCUGACAAACUUAUAUAAGAAGGCUCUAGCCGCCAUAUUUUGCCAAAGGGAGCAUCAGGAUGCAGUGGCACAUAUCUGGUCUUAUACUCGUAUUGCUACACUGAAGUUCUUUGAAAAGUAUAUUUAACAGAAGAAUGGGAUUGAAGACGAGACGGAUAAAACACUGGUGGAGAGACAUAGUGAGAAGAGAUGGGGAGUGAUGGUUAUAAUUAAAUUUCUACAAUAUCUGCCUGCAAUGAUCAGUGCUGCAUUAAGGGAAGCAACCGGAUCGGGCUCAAGAAAGAAUCAAUAAGUUAGCCAAAUUACUCAAAGAUCAGGAAGUAGGCUCUGCAAUAUGUUCAACAGGUGUUGGAGUAAUUACCGGUAUCAUACAGAGGGAUGAAGGGCGUGCCCCAAUGAGGCACUCCUUUCACUAGUCAUUUUUUAGCUGGAUCUCGAGGGGCACUGGAUCGACAAGUUUCUAGGAGAUUUUCUGGCAUUUUGCCUAAUUUUGAGGCGCACAUGAUCGAAUUCUUGAUGUUCUUUGACCAGUUCGGGAAGACAGACGACAAAGAAUGAUCAUGACCAUAUGCUGAAGUUGAGGUCAUCAAGAUGUGCAUGCCUCUUCUUUCACCUGCUUCUGAGAUUAUUCAGUUCAUAAUCUCUGAAGGUCAAGAAAUGCAGGCUUGGAACUUAUAGCCAGGCUUGACCUAGAUGACCCUUCAGCUGUAAGGAAGGCAGAACCCUUCUAAUCUUGGGCUCUCCUACUGCAAUUUCUAGUGAAGUUCAACAGAAAUGUGCCACAAGCUUAAAUGCUGCACAGAUGAUUCUUGCUGGCUAUGAGCACAAAUAUGAUGAGGUUCUGCAAAGUUUAAUCAAUUGUCUACAGUCCUGAAUUUCCUUUCCUUCAAUGGUAAGAGUGAUUUGCAGUUCUAGCAACCCGUCUUUGCAAAGUUCUGGCAACCCGUCUUCCCAUAGAUCUUAAAAAUGAGUUGCAAUAAAAACAUCACGAGUUCCCUGCCAGAGGAUUUCAAGCUCCCAAAUUAUUGACUUUUGCCAAAUUAUUGAAGGGGAAUCUUGAAGCUCACAUUUCCUCCUGUCCCGACAAAGAAAAGGGAGCCCAAGAAAGACUAAAAUAACCUGAUUAGUCUUGUGAGGGUGGAAGAGAGACAUGCACAUAUAAUUGUUCAAUCCCUUAUUGAAGAGUAUAUGUUUGAUGAAGAUCUAUUUAGUGAUAGCAUACAUCUUUCUUGCUGGUAUAAUCUGCCUGUAUUGGUCCCAUUUGCACGGUGCUUCUAUCUCUACCUUGAAUAAAAGAAAAGAACAGAGAACUUUUUGGAGUGCUUCUUUCCACAAUUAAUCCCAUUUGCAAGUGAUGGUGCAAUCAGCCAUAUCAGGAUCACGGUUUUGCUAAAAUGCGUUGGUUAAUUGGUCCCAGGUUGCAUUAUUCUAGUAAUUAUGGAAUCUUGUAUGUAUCUUGUGGACCUGGGCACAAAAUACAUGCAAGAUGCAUAAUUACCUGCUGUUAGUUUGGAUUUUAGAGUCUAUUCUAGUUAUUGUAUUCAAUUCUAGGCUUUUUUUUUUUUGUCUCCGUCUAUAAUUAUUUAUUUAUCUUAUACUCAUUCUGAUCAUAAGUUGAGAUGCCCUAAUGGAAGAUUUCUUCUAUUUUUAGUCGGGUCCACUGUAAUGUAGGUAUUUGAGGCACAUGUGAUCGACUUCUUGAAGUAUUUCACCAAUUCAAGAAGGCGACAAAGGUUGCCAACAUAAGAGAAUUUUGAUGUUUUAACAAAUUUGGAGGCACACGUGAUUGAUUAAUUGGAGCAAGAGCUUUGUGAGUCACUUUGCUCCUAGGAUCUUUGUGAGAGGCCAAGAGCUUCAGAGGCCCUUCAACAUCCUUAAUUAGUUGCUAUUAUAUUCCUUCAUCCAUUAUCACAAGAGCAGUAGGAAGAACUCUUUACCUGGCGCACGUGGUCGAAUUCUUGAAGUUCCUUGAAGUGCCUACUUGCUCGAUAUGCUCUAAAUGAAGACAAGGGUAAUUGUUUUGGUUAAUAGUUUCUAUGACUGCAUUACUCGAGUAAUUAUAGAUUCUUGUGUGUAAUUUGUGGACCCGGGCACAAUUUACAUGCAAGAUGCUAUGAUUACCUAUUGUUAUACUAGAGUCUUUUAUUAGUCAUUGUAUUUCAUUAUAGGCUUGUUUUUCAAGUCCCCAACUGUGAUUAUAUUAUUUUUCUAAUAUUCAUUCCUAUUAAGCGAUGUUGCUCAUGACAUGGAACAUGCUAUUGAUGAACCAAAAUGGACCAGGCCCAGGGUGAAACCCUUGUGCGAGAGGAAGCUGAUCUAGUGGGGAUUAACAAACCCAAGAAGCAGCCUAGUGAUUUGCUUUUUUGCUCUCUUUUUCUGUGAUUUCUCCUUGUGCUUUUGUUCUGUUUGUUUUUCACUCUUUCUUUUAUGUUAUUCCGGUUUUUUCUAUCCAUCCUGUGCUUUUACGAGUACAAUACUUCUCUGUUCUGCACAAUUCGAGCAGUGCUUCUGUUAUUUUCUGUUUUUCCUCCAAUUUGGGCAGGUUGUAGAUUGUUAUUUGCUCCAUUGUCCUUGUUUCUAUUACUUAGCUUUUGUUUUGCCCCAGUUUAGCUUUCUUUUGUGAAAUUUCUGUUCAUGGAAGGACAUUUACUUUUGGGUCUGGUUUUAUUUAUUUAUUUUUGGACGUUGUUGUAUAUUUUUAGCAUAAUUCUUUUAUUUGUUAUCCCUUCUUUAUCACUAAAUUCAUUUAAUCACAACUCACAAGUAUACAAAGAAAGCAAGGCAAUCAAGAAAUAUGAUAAGAAACUGCAGUCUUUUGGGUCUCUUGUAUACUUUUAGCAAAUCCUACAUAUAUACAAUCUUAAGAAUGCGUUUGAUAACCAAACAAUGGUUGAAAUUAACUUCAAACAUGCUUUUUUUUUUCAGGUCUUAAAAUCUUUUUGGUUCCGGUCGAUAAGAAUUUUGUUGUAUACUUUUAGUAUCUGUGAUUGUUUUUGUAUUUUAUUAAAAAAUAUUAUUUGGUUUUAGUCCUUCAUUUUAUUUUUGUCGGUUGUUACUUUUAGUCUAUGCUGACGUUGAGAGUUCCGUUGCAAAAAGGGUGACGUGGCUAACGAAGCUCUACGUCAACAUUAAACACCUCAUCAGUCUUAUUUAUGUAGUGUUCUAUAUGACUUGUAUUUGCACUAUACAGAAAGGGACACACAAUAUAUGGUAAGAGACAGUCUCAUAGCUUGUAAAGAAUAAAACCGGUUAGCGAUGUGUUGCUCAUUUACUGUUUUUUUAGCCUGGGAUUGUAUGCAAAAGUGAGAAGCACUAUGUAGAAAUUAUAAGAAUAGUCUUAUGUUUUGAUGUAUUGUAUAGUGGAAAACAUGUCUAGGAUAUGUUUUGAUGUUGAACACCUAUUGUAAGUGUUAUGGGAGACGCUCCAACCGAUCACCCCCGGGUCAAUCUCACUGUCUCCUCAACCGGCCAAGACUAGGGACGAUCAACCCCGACCGGCCAACUAAGUAAUUACGGACCAGUGACCGAGGCAAAGGCACGGAGCUCGAGGUUGUACUAGGCACUCAUGACUGCCUCGAACCACGCAAUCCUACCCUCUAUAAAAGCCAAGGCAUGGAGAACUUAAGGGACCCCUCCCGGGCACGACCAGUAAUGGAGCUCCGUCAAGACCAUCAUCCCGCCACCCUUCCUCACCAGAGUUUCACUGUUCCCCUCUCUCCCUACCCCCUCCAGGUAGUCUUGGUCGGUUUUUCCCCGAUCAGUAAGUAUGUGAAUGAAGUAAUUUGAUAAAAAAAAAUGAAAAAAAAAUGUACAAUACAAUGUAUUGAUGAAUUAAAAAAAUUAACGAAAUGGUUUAUAAGUAUGGAACUGGAAAUGUUCUCAAAAGGACCUUAGAUACGUUUGUAGGGAACACAAAUCUUGACAAUCACAUGGUAAAGUUUAGAGUCCAUCUAUACGAUCAACUAACAACAUUACGGUUGUGUCGACCACACUGUGCGAAAUUUGUAGUAUCGGCUUUGAGUCAGCUAAACCAUUGCAUAACACCC